rnacentral:rRNA from 1 species
UACGUAGGGUGCAAGCGUUAAUCGGAAUUACUGGGCGUAAAGCGUGCGCAGGCGGUUUUGUAAGUCUGUUGUGAAAUCUCCUGGCUCAACUGGGAGGGUGCGCCGGAAACUGGAGUGCUUGAGCGUGGGAGAGGAAAGCGGAAUUCCUGGUGUAGCGGUGAAAUGCGUAGAUAUCAGGAGGAACACCUGUGGUGUAGACGGCUUUCUGGACCAUAGCUGACGCUGAGACACGAAAGCGUGGGUAGCAAACAGG